UGGGGAAUUUUGGACAAUGGACGCAAGUCUGAUCCAGCCAUGCCGCGUGCGGGAAGAAGGCCUUCGGGUUGUAAACCGCUUUUGUCAGGGAAGAAACGAGUUUCUCUAAUACAGAGACUUAAUGACGGUACCUGAAGAAUAAGCACCGGCUAACUACGUGCCAGCAGCCGCGGUAAUACGUAGGGUGCGAGCGUUAAUCGGAAUUACUGGGCGUAAAGCGUGCGCAGGCGGUUAUACAAGACAGAUGUGAAAUCCCCGGGCUCAACCUGGGAACUGCAUUUGUGACUGUAUAGCUAGAGUACGGCAGCGGGGGAUGGAAUUCCGCGUGUAGCAGUGAAAUGCGUAGAUAUGCGGAGGAACACCGAUGGCGAAGGCAAUCCCCUGGGCCUGUACUGACGCUCAUGCACGAAAGCGUGGGGAGCAAACA
rnacentral:rRNA from 1 species